CACUUAUACCGUGAAACUGCGAAUGGCUCAUUAAAUCAGUUAUCGUUUAUUUGAUAGUACCUUACUACUUGGAUAACCGUGGUAAUUCUAGAGCUAAUACAUGCUAAAAACCCCGACUUCGGGAGGGGUGUAUUUAUUAGAUAAAAAACCAACGCCCUUCGGGGCUCUUUGGUGAUUCAUGAUAACUUAACGGAUCGCAUGGCCUUGCGCCGGCGACGGUUCAUUCAAAUUUCUGCCCUAUCAACUUUCGAUGGUAAGGUAUUGGCUUACCAUGGUUUCAACGGGUAACGGGGAAUUAGGGUUCGGUUCCGGAGAGGGAGCCUGAGAAACGGCUACCACAUCCAAGGAAGGCAGCAGGCGCGCAAAUUACCCAAUCCCGACACGGGGAGGUAGUGACAAUAAAUACUGAUACAGGGCUCUUUUGGGUCUUGUAAUUGGAAUGAGUACAAUUUAAACCCCUUAACGAGGAACAAUUGGAGGGCAAGUCUGGUGCCAGCAGCCGCGGUAAUUCCAGCUCCAAUAGCGUAUAUUAAAGUUGUUGCAGUUAAAAAGCUCGUAGUUGAACCUUGGGCCUGGCUGGCCGGUCCGCCUCACCGCGUGUACUGGUCCGGCCGGGCCUUUCCUUCUGGAGAGCCGCAUGCCCUUCACUGGGUGUGUUGGGGAACCAGGACUUUUACUUUGAAAAAAUUAGAGUGUUCAAAGCAGGCCUUUGCUCGAAUACAUUAGCAUGGAAUAAUAGAAUAGGACGUGCGGUCCUAUUUUGUUGGUUUCUAGGACCGCCGUAAUGAUUAAUAGGGAUAGUCGGGGGCAUCAGUAUUCAAUUGUCAGAGGUGAAAUUCUUGGAUUUAUUGAAGACUAACUACUGCGAAAGCAUUUGCCAAGGAUGUUUUCAUUAAUCAGUGAACGAAAGUUAGGGGAUCGAAGACGAUCAGAUACCGUCGUAGUCUUAACCGUAAACUAUGCCGACUAGGGAUCGGGCGAUGUUACUAUUUUGACUCGCUCGGCACCUU
rnacentral:rRNA from 1 species